GCGGGGAUACUCAAGGAUGGUUGAAGAGGGCGCACUUGAAAUGCGCUAGGGGCUAAGGCCUGCGGGGGUUCAAAUCCUCCUCCUCGCG
rnacentral:tRNA from 1 species